GUGUUCUUGGUUAAGUGGUUUAAAAUUUAAUUUUUUGAUGGUGGUGGGUCAAGGUUCGAAUCCUUUUGAAGGCA